CACCGCCCGUCGCUACUACCGAUUGAAUGGUUUAGUGGGAUGAUCUGAGCAGAUGUACAUGUACUCUGUACGUAGUGUAACGUUUGCAAUGAAGAUCAAAGUUGAUCAUUUAGAGGAAGUAAAAGCCGUAACAAGGUUUCCGUAGGUUAACCUGCGGAAG
rnacentral:ncRNA from 1 species